UACGGAGGGUGCAAGCGUUAUCCGGAUUCACUGGGUUUAAAGGGUGCGUAGGUGGGCAGGUAAGUCAGUGGUGAAAUCUCCGGGCUUAACCCGGAAACUGCCAUUGAUACUAUCAGUCUUGAAUACCGUGGAGGUAAGCGGAAUAUGUCAUGUAGCGGUGAAAUGCUUAGAUAUGACAUUGAACACCAAUUGCGAAGGCAGCUUACUACCCGAAUAUUGACACUGAGGCACGAAAGCGUGGGGAUCAAACAGG
rnacentral:rRNA from 1 species